UAUUUUUUUUAGGAUUCCACAAUUCAAAACAAUACCUAGUGAAUUUUGCAGGCUUCUAGAGGAGUCGAAUUGUGUGGGGAUGUGCAUCAACCUCUGUAAGAUGCCUACUCAAACCUUCAUUAAGGACUACUUAGGAAUGCCACUCAACAUGGUCCCAAAUUAUGAUGAUAUGAGUUGCGAUAUGAUAUACGGUCAGGAUCCUCCCCCAGCAACCGAAGAUCCAGCAUUUAAGCAACCUUGCUACAAUCUAUGCAAAGAAAAGCAAAAGCACAACACAAGAUGUUCCGGCUAAGGUAGAAGGAACUUGCCAUUUUAAAAGAAAAAAUAAAAAUGGAGAAGGAGAAGGAUAUUGAAGGAGCUACUUUUCAAGCCAAUCUUCGGUUCUAAUCAUCAUUUUGUAUAAAUAUCGAUCCUUCUCGUAAACUAAUCAAUGAAGAUAUUGUUCAUAUACUUUGAUUAUUAAACCCUAUAAAAUGGCAGCUUAUGCUUAUAUGCAAUUUAGAAAUUUCUAUUAUUUGUUAGGCAUUGUCCACAUUACUAAAAUACAUCCUCUUUUUUUUUUUGGUUAGCCAAAAUUUGAUUGUAGCUACCCAUUUUAGCAAUGUUCCAUUGGGGCCAGAUGUGAGUAAACUCAUUUAGAUCUGUUAGUAGGCAAGGCCCAUUCUAAUUACCCUCAUCAAGAAC